rnacentral:rRNA from 1 species
GACGAACGCUGGCGGCGUGCUUUACACAUGCAAGUCGAACGAUGAUGAGUGCUUGCACUUUGAUCAGUGGCGAACGGGUGAGUAACACGUGAGUAACCUGCCUCAGAGUCUGGGAUAACUCCGGGAAACUGGGGCUAAUACUGGGUAUGACAUCUCCUCGCAUGUGGGGGUGUGGAAAGAUUUUGUGGUCUGGGAUGGGCUCGCGGCCUAGGAGCUUGUUGGUGGGGUGAUGGCAGACCAAGGCGGUGACGGGUGGCCGGCCCGAGAGGGUGACCGGGCACACUGGGACUGGGACACGGCGCAGAAUGGUACGGGAGGCAGCAGUGGGGAAUAUGGCACAAUGGGCGCAAGCCUGAUGCAGCGACGCCGCGUGAGGGAUGAUGGCCUUCGGGUUGUAAACCUCUUUCAGCAGGGAAGAAGCGUGAGUGACGGUACCUGCAGAAGAAGCGCCGGCUAACUACGUGCCAGCAGCCGCGGUAAAAC